rnacentral:rRNA from 1 species
UACCAGCGGUCCAAGUCGCAGCCACAAUUACUGGGUCUAAAACAUCCGUAGCUUGCUUUGCAAGUCUUUUGUGAAAUUCCAUAUCUUAAGUAUGGAGCGUGCAGGAGAUACUGCAAUGCUAGAGACCGGGAGACGUAAGAAGUACAAUCAAGGUAGUAGUAAAAUAUGUUGAUCUUGAAUGGACUAACAACAGCGAAGGCAUCUUACGAGCACGGAUCUGACAGUGAGGGAUGAAGGCUAGGGUCGCGAAAAG